UUUUUUUUUUUUUUUUUUUUUUUUUUGGCUAGAGUUUACACUAUCCCAAUCAAAGAAUUACAGUACACAUCUCCAGAAUCCAUAAAUGUGUUCCUGGCCCACUCUGUAAUAGUUCAGUAGAAUUACCAUUAAUUACAUACAGAUUUUACCUAUCCACAAUAGUCAGAAAACAACUUGGCAUUUCUAUACUUUACAGGAAAAAAAAUUCUGUUGUUCCAUUUUAUGCAGAAGCAUAUUUUGCUGGUUUGAAAGAUUAUGAUGCAUACAGUUUUCUAGCAAUUUUCUUUGUUUCUUUUUACAGCAUUGUCUUUGCUGUACUCUUGCUGAUGGCUGCUAGAUUUUAAUUUAUUUGUUUCCCUACUUGAUAAUAUUAGUGAUUCUGAUUUCAGUUUUUCAUUUGUUUUGCUUUUGUUUUUUUCCUCAUGUAACAUUGGUGAAGGAUCCAGGAAUAUGACACAAAGGUGGAAUAAACAUUAAUUUUGUGCAUUCUUUGGUAAUUUUUUUUGUUUUUUGUAACUACAAAGCUUUGCUACAAAUUUAUGCAUUUCAUUCAAAUCAGUGAUCUAUGUUUGUGUGAUUUCCUAAACAUAAUUGUGGAUUAUAAAAAAUGUAACAUCAUAAUUACAUUCCUAACUAGAAUUAGUAUGUCUGUUUUUGUAUCUUUAUGCUGUAUUUUAACACUUUGUAUUACUUAGGUUAUUUUGCUUUGGUUAAAAAUGGCUCAAGUAGAAAAGCAGUCCCAUUCAUAUUAA
rnacentral:lncRNA from 1 species